UGCUAGAUGGUGGAGCACAGGAGAGCCUGAAGAAAUGUUGUCCAUGGGGUCAUGAAGGGUUGGACAUGACUUGGUGACUAAACAAAACAAGGCACAUACUAGGGCUCGUUUUAUCUGCUAGGAGUUUUCUUCCAUCUGCACUCAAGCCUUCUUGUAAUUUAUUUCAUCACAAUUUGCUCCAGGGUAUACUGGGGAGCCUUUCAAGCUCUGCUGCAGAGAGGAUGCUCUGUCAAUUGAUCAUGUCAAUUGCCUGGGUCAUCUCUGGAAUACAGAGAUCAACCAGGGAUUUGACAGGACUGCUAGCCAUAUCAGCCAGAAAGUCCCCCCGUGGUCUGUUAUAGAAGGAAGUUAGAAUGUGAACCUAAUAAAGUGAAUAAAUGUUAAAUCAAAAGCAAAAAGUAACUAAUCAAGCAUUAUCAAAACUUUUCUGUUUAUAAAUGCUAAGGAUUUAAUAACAAACCUGUUAUGCAAACUAAUUCUUUGCAUGCUUACUCAUAAAUGUCCUUCUCCAUCCUCUUUGCUGAUUCACUGCUAAAUUAUGGGCCUCAGUACCCACCAACUCACAAUCUUGCAUCCCUUUUUACAUCCAUUUGCCACUUUCUGGACCCUUCCUCCCAUUUUCAGCAACCCACAUCAAAACCCACAUUUUUUAUGGGAUGUGAAUCAGGCAUUUAAUCCCAUGAAGGAAAGUAUGAUACAAUGCGUGGUCAGAAAUGAUGAGACCACAUUCCCUCACUGAAUUAAGAUUCCUGGACUGCGCUUGCACCUCUACACACUACAAUGGCUCUAUAGUCGAGUGAAGAGGUGCUACUUCCAUGAAAUUAGAGACUUUCCAUCCUGGGAUGUGGAGGGGAAAUAAUAUAUGAUCAAACCCUUGGAAAGCAAGAGCAGGAAUGAUGUUAAACACAUACAUGUGAUCCAAGACCCCUAAGACCACAAGGAGGAGAGUACAUCCUCUGUUUUCAUAACUGGAGCCUUCCUUUUAAUUUUGGAUCAGGCCUGGAAUCUGUAGGAAACUGCAGAUCGGAGACCAACUCCAGAACUGUGCCCGCCCUAUUGUGAUUCUAGUCUAGAGUCUUGUUUUGCAGGGAGAAGAGCAGAGAGAAUUCUACCAUUUCUGAACACACGCCAGCCCAGGUGUACUUGCCUGGGUACAAGUUAUGUCAUCUGAUCCUAGGCAACAUGAAUUGUUGAAGGGAAAAAAACCCUCAAAUAACCCAAGGUUCAAUAAGCCAUGCCAUGUCAGAUAACAUGAUAAGUUGUAUCCAGGCAAGUGAUUAGGUGAAGGGCUGUUGGGAUGCCCUUUAAGCAAGCUAUUUAUUUAAAGAUUAUAUGUAGCCAUUCAGCCUGCUUUUUAUUACCUAUAUAGCUAGCACACAUAAAGGAAAGUCUGGAAUCCCUUUUGUCCAUAUAUUCUCCUGCCAUGUGAAAACAAUUGCUAAUAAAAACAAACUGAGCUUGAAAGGAACAUGGAAAAAAUACUUCUCAGUUACAAGUUCUAUUUUAAAAGUUAAUGGUUUAUAAUUACAUUUACUGCAGUAGUACCAAAGUUCAUCAAAUCAGGUUUGUAGGCCUUCCCUUUCUAGAGAGAAACGUAUUAAUUAGCUUGGACUGUGUCAUCAACACAUGGCUUCAUUUGCACGUGUGCCAAGUACAGGGUAAAUUAGCACAGCACUCUAAAUGCAGUCCAACUUCCAGCAUAGGCAGUGCAAGCAUUUUAUACUUCAGAGGCCUUCUAGGUGCCCCCAGAAUAUGAAGUGAGGUAGGUGGCUACUGCGAAGAGGGCCGUUUCCCUUGUGGAUGGACCUCCCCAGUGAGACUCACCUGGUGCAUCUGCCAGAUGAAGGACUUACUUUAUUUUACCACGCAUUUUAGUCUUGCAGUUUCUGUGGUUUUACCAUCUGUUCUUAAAAUUGCUGCUCUUUUAACUUUGUUUUUAUGCUGUAGUUUAAAACCUGUUCACAUUUUUAGUUGUGUUUAAUUGUGCUGUAUUUUAUGAUUUUGAUUGCUGUGAACUUCUCAGACUGUCUAGAAAUGUAAUACAUAAAUACAAUAUAUGCCAAUGUGCUUGAAAAUACCAAAGCACAAAAGAAUGGGGAGGACGGAAUUGACUUUCUAUGCCACACCCAUUUUGCCCAUGCAAUAUAUGGAAAUAAAUAUUUUCCUUAAGUUUGUGGGUAGAAACGAUCAUGUUAAUCAUUAUUUGUCAAUUAUUUGAGAUGCUGUUAUUUUUUCAUAUAACAAUAAAGUACUAUAUAUGUUUUUUAAUUCAAUGGUUAGAAUUUCCAUAGCUUUGGAUUGCCAAAAGUCAAGCUUUCUAGCUUCAUGGGAAGAGCUGGGGAUGUUUAAAAUGAUUAGAAUUAUUACCUUUAUUUUGUUCCCCAAGUGAGACAAUUAAACUUGGUAAACACUUCAGCCAUCAUCCCAUUGUAUUCCCAUGCCAGUGCUCAAGCUAUCUGUGUUACUUAGACAGUACUGAAAAAUUUCUUCAAUUAUUUUGAUGAAGCCUGCUUGAACAGAAAAGUUUCUAUACUAAUUCAGAUUUCAAUGGCUUCUUUCCAAUCACAGAUUCCUCAUGAAAAAUCACCAAAGGAAUCAAACUAAACAGAUGCCUGAGAUCUACAAGAAAGUUGCCUGUCGAUCCCUGUGGUCCAGAAGUGUACACACCUUUGUUUACAGGUCUUCAGUUCAGUGGAAAAGAACCAAGUAGUGACACCAUGAAUUUCCCUUACUAAAGAUUCAGAGAGAGCCAUAAGAGGACUUCUUCUCUUUCCAUAUGACUGCCAAGUUUGCUCAAGAGCCUUUGAUGGGAUACUUUGCCAAAAACCCUUUUGGAAGAACAGUGUUUACUGGAUCAUGCCUUUCCACCUGCUUACUGGCAUUCUCAAAGAACUCCCAAAGGACUUAACUUUGCAAAAGCCAUGUUGGUUCCUUUUCAGCAGAGCUUUUCUCUCUAUGUACUUAUUGACUCAAGCUUUAAUACUGCUUUCAGCCAAUUUAUCCAAAACUGUGCUAUAAUUUUCACAAAGUAAAAUAAGAGAUAACUGUGUAUUUCUGUUGUGGCAGAGUUCAUACAUAAAGACAGAAGUUUGACUUAAGAGGAUGAAAUGCUUGGGAUGUCUUUUGUAGAGUCAUUCCUUUUACCAUAAGAUGCUGGUAAAAUUGUUUCAUCAAGAAACCUACCUGUGGUUAUUUUCAAGAGUGGCAGAUGCUAUGUUCAGUUGAAGAAAAGCAACAGUGAACCCUGUGGCGCCUUCUCAGCUGCAUGCUUUGCAAAAGUUAUCCUCAGCUGUAUACACAUGUACAUGGGUGCAAAGGAGGGAGGUGAACAAUGGAGUCAAAAGAUAUGGUAUGUCUGUUACAGUUCUGUGCAGAGCUUAAAUGUAUACAGGAAUACCAUUAUUUUAGGUGGAUUCAAAGACCGAUCAUAAAGCAAUAAAUAAGCAUUUUUAAAUAAGUAAAUACAAAAAUAUGCAUGUUUAGGUAGAAAAGAAGGAUCCCAAAAUAUUGAAAAAAAGAACUGUAACUGGAGGCUUUGUAUAAUGAAAUAAGGGAUACACAUUUCCUCAGAUGUCUAAAUCCUGUGCUCAUUGAUGAGAUGAGACAGCCAUGCACAUACAUUGUGUGUGUAACCCAAUGUCUACUUUUAUGUCAUUUGAUUCUGAACCUUCCAGUAAACUCGAAAAGCUUUAAAAAACAAAACAAAGGUGGUUCAAAAAGACAAUUUUUCUUCUUCCAUAUUGUUUUGUCCUUUUUGGAGAUCCUCUGGGUAUGAAAUUCUAUAUUGCACCAAAAUCAGGCCUCAGAAGUUCUGAACCUGAAGUCUGACUGAUAAUUCAUACAAAUUGGGUUGGCAAUGGAAAGGGGGUCGUGUUUUACAAAGGCUAAUUUGCUUAUGGAGGACAUGAGAACACAACAUGAUUGUGUGUAACUGUAUUCCCAUCAACCUUACAGCUAUAAUUAUAACUCUCACACCCUCUGCUGGCUUGUCUUAGGUUUCUAAUGAGAUGGCCUGAAAAUCCAAGCCUCUAAUUUCAUUAAAGAAAUUUAACUGUAAUCCUGUUUCAAGGGAAUAGGAAACCACCAAGGAAAGCACAAUGUGGUGAAAGGGGCAAGGACAAACUGUAUAAACUCAGAGAAAAACAUUACAAGGUUUCAGAAUGUAUAUUUUCUCUAUCUUUGUUUAGGCUGUCAAAUUUUGAAACAACAGAAGUAGUUGCUCAUUUAGAAACAUAGAAACAGAGCAAGUCAGAAGGGGCAUCCUGGGCCAUCUAGUCUGACCCCCGGCUCCAGCUGGCUCCACUCAUAAAAUCCCCAACAUGUGGUUGUCCAAUCUUUCCUUGAACACCCUCACUGAUGGGGCCUCAACCACAUCCCUUGGAAGCCCAUUCCAUAUCCUUCUGCCAAUAGAAAAUCUUAUGGAAGAAAGAUAGAAAAAUUACAGCUAGCCAAGCACUAAGAGAAAAUUGGUACAAGAUGUUCUUUCAUUGGUAUAUUAUUCCAAAAGAUAUUGAGAAAUAGGACAAGAACUAUAAUGGAAAUAGCUGGAAAUGCAAGGAAGUGGAUGGAACUUUUUACCAUAUGAGGUGAAUGUACAGUAAGGUCAAAAUAUUUUGGGAAGAAAUACAUGCUGAAAUACAGAGCGGAUUUAUUUUCCUAUGUGCGCUAAGAACAUGCUACUAUUGUGCCAGAAACUCUUCCAAUAAAUAUGGAAGAAUUAUUUAAAUAGAGGAUAAGAACAGGUAGAAUUAUAAUUGCAACAAAAUGAAAAGCAGAAAACUGCCCAUCUAGUGAAGAUUGGAAAAAUAAAUUAACGGAAUAUUCAGUAAUGGCAAAAUUGAUCAACUAUAUAAAUAGAAGACUGGUCCAAGAAUUUAAUGAUACAUGGAAAUGAUACAUAUAGUAUUUAACAACUCAGAGGAAAAAUAGAAUUUAUAUCAGGAUGACCUAGUUGAUACAUUUCCUAAUCAGCUGUAAGAUCAGUUAAAGGAUUUUAUGUUAAAGGGGAAGCCUAUUGGAUAUCCUUUAUUUAGCAAUGGAGACUGGUACUAUUAAGUGUUAUGUAUACUAUGAUCAAAUUAAUAUAAUUGCUUUAUGAAUUUAACUUACUAUUAUAUUUUAUUUGGGGGGAAAAGGAAAAAUCAAUUAUUAAUUGCUGGUGGGUUUGUGGAUAUUUUAUAAGGUGAAAUAUUAUUUGACACCCAUGUUAAAGUGGGUUUUUUUUUCAAAUAAACAAGUAUUAAGUGAAAAUUUUAGUUAUAACAUUGAUAAUUUUACACAAAAUUACUGCUUUUUUUGUGUAAUUUCCUGCACUUAGAGCUAUGUAUAAAUUUUGUGUAAAGUCCCUUGGUAUCUUUUUCAUGUUACUUUUUUUUCUUUUAUCUAUAAAAAUAUAAAUGAAAUAGCA